CCCUGGUUAGCUUUGUUGGUAGAGUGCUCCACUGGAAAUGAACAGGUCCCGGGUUGAUACCUGGACCAGGAA
rnacentral:tRNA from 1 species